UACGUAGGUGGCAAGCGUUUGUCCGGAAUUAUUGGGCGUAAAGCGCGCGCAGGCGGUCUCUUAAGUCUGAUGUGAAAGCCCACGGCUCAACCGUGGAGGGUCAUUGGAAACUGGGGGACUUGAGUACAGAAGAGGAAAGCGGAAUUCCACGUGUAGCGGUGAAAUGCGUAGAGAUGUGGAGGAACACCAGUGGCGAAGGCGGCUUUCUGGUCUGUAACUGACGCUGAGGCGCGAAAGCGUGGGGAGCAAACAGG
rnacentral:rRNA from 1 species